AAUUAGGAUUGUUUAUAAUAAAUAUGCAUUAAUUAGUGCAAUUUCUUUAACCAUAAAGAAUAACUAAAUCCCUCAGGACAAUGUCACAUCAAUGCACUGAACUCAUUAUGUUAUCCACCUAACAGAGCCUCCACAUGUUCUCACUGUAAUUUCCCCCUCAUGAAUGAAUUUAUGCUGCACUAAUCUGAAUGUUUUGGGGGAAAUCAAACGCAUUUUACUCGCAGUACUCGAGGUGACUUACCUUUGUUUGAAUGACGGCGUACUCACAACGUGGAGGCUUAAAAAUAGCCAAAUCUUGUACCCAGUCCUUGGUGAAUUAGAUGUGCGCCUCCAGAGAUUUAUAAUGACGAAAUUGGUGCGCCAUGUAUGCGCUGACUCCACAGACAAGGUACGAGAAUAUAUAGCGGUGUGGUCUUCAGGGUUUCUACUCCACAGCCGUAUUUCAUACAGGUCCACAUUUCCAAUGCAUGCUGUUUUUUGCAAGUACCGUCUCUUUGCAUCUGGACACAAUCUGUCUCUAUACCGUCCUUUUUUUUUUGAGCUACGUUUCAGAAUGGUUCGUAGCAAUCUUGUUUUGAUUCGUGGCCUGCCAAUAUGGUGCUGCGCUCCCACAAUGCAUUGCGGCGUUACGUCAACUCCAAAGCCCUUUGCAUGCAGGAGAGUAUGCGCAUGCGCAUUGCCAUGGUGAUUUUAAAAAUAAAGAUAAAAUGAAAAGUAAUUAAUAAAAAGUACAUAUUUAAAUAUUCCCACAAAUGUGCAAUGAACGUGCAAAAACUCUGUUUAUAAGUUAAGCUGUUUCUUUCUUUCUUUCUUUCUUUCUUUCUUUUUUUUGAAAAAUAACGAUGUCUCUGAGGUGCGAAUUCCGACAGUGAGAGGAACGGCCGGAUACAGGAGACGGGAAGAAACAAGCCGAUUAUGUUAAUUAAGUGGUUGGAAGAUGUAAAAUUCAGUCAACUGAACAUAUACGAGAUUUUAAUGCGGAUGAAUAAUUAGCCGGCAUGGACCUUUAUUUGGUGGAGUGGCAACAAGGAGCCAAAAGGCGGGUGGCCGGUCUAUGAAGCCUCCAUCAUCAAGCUAGCAGAAAUCCCACCUCUCCUUCUGGCUACAGAGCACUUACUUACCAAGCCCAUGAAAUCGCAUGCAGAUCUUCCUGAUGUGAAAUUUACACAAAUCUAAGUAAUUUUGUUUGUCAUUAUCAUUAAUGUUGUUGCUGUUGUUGUUUUUGUGCAGUUUACAAUCAUAUAAACCUAGCAAACAUCAGUCAGCACUGUGCCUAACCUAAACAGAUUUUUGCUUUAUUGACAUAUACUUGUACUUGGCCCCACCCCAUUGUUGUGACAGCCCUGAUUGUACUUAUACACUGCAUCUGAACAGGGAACAGUCUGCCACAUUAAUGUAUUUUUAAGUGACUUGUUUGUAACACAUGAAUUUUUCUCUUACAGAUGUCAAAGUCUCAACCUCAUGCUGCCCUCCCCCAUCCUCCUAAAGUAAGUAUUCAGUUACAGUUCACACCACAUCUUGAUGCAUUCUCAAUCAUCCAGGAAAGUAAAUCUCCAAAAGUUGAAUCUGUUC